AAAGCUCGUAGUUGGAUCUGUGUCUAACGGCGUCGGUUCACCGCUCGCGGUGUAACUGGCGCGCCGGUUGGACGUCCUGCCGGUGGCGGUCCGGGCUUUCGGCUUGUGUAGGCUUUCGCCGAAGCAUGCCGUUGGUUCCGGCCGCCGAUUCAAUCCCGCCGCGGUGCUCUUAACUGAGUGUCGAGGUGGGCCGGCACGUUUACUUUGAACAAAUUAGAGUGCUUAAAGCAGGCUGAUUUCCGCCUGAAUACUGUGUGCAUGGAAUAAUGGAAUAGGACUUCGGUUCUAUUUUGUUGGUUUUAAGAAUCCGAAGUAAUGAUUAAUAGGGACAGGCGGGGGCAUUCGUAUUGCGACGUUAGAGGUGAAAUUCUUGGAUCGUCGCAAGACGUACCUAAGCGAAAGCAUUUGCCAAGUAUGUCCUCGUUAAUCAAGAACGAAAGUUAGAGGUUCGAAGGCGAUCAGAUACCGCCCUAGUUCUAACCAUAAACGAUGCCAGCCAGCGAUCCGCCAAAGUUCCUCCGAUGACUUGGCGGGCAGCUUCCGGGAAACCAAAGCUUUUGGGUUCCGGGGGAAGUAUGGUUGCAAAGCUGAAACUUAAAGGAAUUGACGGAAGGGCACCACCAGGAGUGGAGCCUGCGGCUUAAUUUGACUCAACACGGGAAACCUCACCAGGCCCGGACACCGGAAGGAUUGACAGAUUGAUAGCUCUUUCUUGAUUCGGUGGGUGGUGGUGCAUGGCCGUUCUUAGUUGGUGGAGCGAUUUGUCUGGUUAAUUCCGAUAACGAACGAGACUCUAGCCUGUUAACUAGGCGUUUCCGGUAUCCACAAUAGUGCUACCGGCGAAUAAAUUUCUUCUUAGAGGGACAGGCGGCUUCUAGCCGCACGAGACUGAGCAAUAACAGGUCUGUGAUGCCCUUAGAUGUCCUGGGCCGCACGCGCGCUACACUGAAGGAAUCAGCGUGUCUUCCCUGGCCGAAAGGUCCGGGUAACCCGUUGAACCUCCUUCGUGCUAGGGAUUGGGGCUUGCAAUUGUUCCCCAUGAACGAGGAAUUCCCAGUAAGCGCGAGUCAUAAGCUCGCGUUGAUUACGUCCCUGCCCUUUGUACACACCGCCCGUCGCUACUACCGAUUGAAUGAUUUAGUGAGGUCUUCGGACUGGUGCGCGGCGAUCGCCUCGUGUGGUCGCCGAUGUUGCCGGGAAGAUGACCAAACUUGAUCAUUUAGAGGAAGUAAAAGUCGUAAC
rnacentral:rRNA from 1 species